rnacentral:rRNA from 1 species
UACGGAGGGAGCUAGCGUUGUUCGGAAUUACUGGGCGUAAAGCGCACGUAGGCGGCUUUUUAAGUCAGGGGUGAAAUCCCGGGGCUCAACCUCGGAACUGCCCUUGAAACUGGAUGGCUAGAAUCUUGGAGAGGCGAGUGGAAUUCCGAGUGUAGAGGUGAAAUUCGUAGAUAUUCGGAAGAACACCAGUGGCGAAGGCGGCUCACUGGCCCGGUACUGACGCUGAGGUGCGAAAGCGUGGGGAGCAAACAGG